GAGUUGAUACCUCAGGGGUUUGUUCACUUGGUGAGGAUAUAGAUAGCAUAGAUGAUUCCAGGGAGCCACCCAAAUAUGGUCAGCAACACACAGAUCCAAAACUCCACCUGCAACACCACCCCGUCGUCGCCGCCACCGCCACCACAAAAACCGUCAAUACCAUCUAAUUGAAACUUACCAUACACAUAUUCUUCAAAACAAUACAUACUAUUACUCUAUAUCUUCUGUAUACGUGCACAUAGAGAGAGAGAGAGAGAGAGAGAGAGAGAGAGAGAGAGAGAGAACCUCGCAUUCAUAACGGAGGAAAACACCCAGAGGCGGCAAGAUGAUGGCCAAGAUGAUUUCGAAGAAGGUGGCUCUUCCCAUUUU